rnacentral:rRNA from 1 species
CCUACGGGAGACAGCAGUAGGGAAUAUUGCUCAAUGGGGGAAACCCUGAAGCAGCAACGCCGCGUGGAGGAUGAAGGUUUUCGGAUUGUAAACCCCUUUUGUUAGAGAAGAUAAUGACGGUAUCUAACGAAUAAGCACCGGCUAACUCCGUGCCAGCAUCCGCGGUAAUACGGAGGGUGCAAGCGUUACUCGGAAUCACUGGGCGUAAAGAGGGCGUAGGCGGGAUAGCAAGUCAGAUGUGAAAUCCUAUGGCUUAACCAUAGAACUGCAUUUGAAACUGUUAUUCUAGAGUAUGGGAGAGGUAGGUGGAAUUCUUGGUGUAGGGGUAAAAUCCGUAGAGAUCAAGAGGAAUACUCAUUGCGAAGGCGACCUGCUAGAACAUAACUGACGCUGAGGCGCGAAAGCGUGUGGAGCAAACAGGAUUAGAUACCCCUGUAGUC